AUUGAACGCUGGCGGCAGGCUUAACACAUGCAAGUCGAGCGGGGUGAUGGUGCUUGCACUAUCACUUAGCGGCGGACGGGUGAGUAAUGCUUAGGUAUCUGCCUAUUAGUGGGGGACAACAUCUCGAAAGGGAUGCUAAUACCGCAUACGUCCUACGGGAGAAAGCAGGGGAUCACUUGUGACCUUGCGCUAAUAGAUGGGCCUAAGUCGGAUUAGCUAGUUGGUGGGGUAAAGGCCUACCAAGGCGACGAUCUGUAGCGGGUCUGAGAGGAUGAUCCGCCACACUGGGCCUGAGACACGGCCCAGACUCCUACGGGAGGCAGCAGUGGGGAAUAUUGGACAAUGGGGGGAACCCUGAUCCAGCCAUGCCGCGUGUGUGAAGAAGGCCUUAUGGUUGUAAAGCACUUUAAGCGAGGAGGAGGCUCUUUUGGUUAAUACCCAAGAUGAGUGGACGUUACUCGCAGAAUAAGCACCGGCUAACUCUGUGCCAGCCGCCGCCGUAA
rnacentral:rRNA from 1 species